rnacentral:rRNA from 1 species
GAGACUGCCGGUGACAAACCCGGGAGGAAGGUGGGGAUGACGUCAAGUCCUCAUGGCCCUUAUGGGUAGGGCUUCACACGUCAUACAAUGGUCGGUACAGAGGGUUGCCAAGCCGUGAGGUGGAGCCAAUCCCUUAAAGCCGAUCGUAGUCCGGAUCGUAGUCUGCAACUCGACUACGUGAAGUUGGAAUCGCUAGUAAUCGCGGAUCAGCAUGCCGCGGUGAAUACGUUCCCGGGCCUU